rnacentral:rRNA from 1 species
AGAAUAAGGAUCGGCUAACUCCGUGCCAGCAGCCGCGGUAAUACGGAGGAUCCGAGCGUUAUCCGGAUUUAUUGGGUUUAAAGGGUGCGUAGGCGGCCUGUUAAGUCAGGGGUGAAAUACGGUGGCUCAACCAUCGCAGUGCCUUUGAUACUGACGGGCUUGAAUCCAUUUGAAGUGGGCGGAAUAAGACAAGUAGCGGUGAAAUGCAUAGAUAUGUCUUAGAACUCCGAUUGCGAAGGCAGCUCACUAAGCUGGUAUUGACGCUGAUGCACGAAAGCGUGGGGAUCGAACAGGAUUAGAUACCCUGGUAGUCCACGCCCUAAACGAUGAUAACUCGAUGUUGGCGAUAGACAGCCAGCGUCCCAGCGAAAGCGUUAAGUUAUCCACCUGGGGAGUACGCCCGCAAGGGUGAAACUCAAAGGAAUUGACGGGGGCCCGCACAAGCGGAGGAGCAUGUGGUUUAAUUCGAUGAUACGCGAGGAACCUUACCCGGGCUUGAAAGUUACUGAAUUAUCUAGAGAUAGAUAAGUCCUUCGGGACAGGAAACUAGGUGCUGCAUGGCUGUCGUCAGCUCGUGCCGUGAGGUGUUGGGUUAAGUCCCGCAACGAGCGCAACCCCUAUGUUUAGUUGCCAGCAUGUAAUGGUGGGGACUCUAAACAGACUGCCAGCGUAAGCUGUGAGGAAGGUGGGGACGACGUCAAGUCAUCAUGGCCCUUACGUCCGGGGCUACACACGUGCUACAAUGGAUGGUACAGCGGGCAGCUACAUAGCAAUAUGAUGCUAAUCUCUAAAAGCCAUUCACAGUUCGGAUUGGGGUCUGCAACUCGACCCCAUGAAGUUGGAUUCGCUAGUAAUCGCGUAUCAGCAAUGACGCGGUGAAUACGUUCCCGGGCCUUGUACACACCGCCCGUCAAGCCAUGAAAGUUGGGGGUGCCUAAAGCAUGUAACCGCAAGGAGCGUGUUAGGGUAAAACCGAUAAUUGGGGCUAAGUCGUAACAAGGUAGCCGUACCGGAAGGUGCGGCUG